rnacentral:lncRNA from 1 species
GCUGAUGUAGAGCUGAAGAAUCACUCCUGUAAUGUUGGGGUGCUGACAGUCUGAGAGUCUGUGUCUGGGACUAGAAAUAUGUGGCAACACUCAGAAGAACUAUAAUUAACCUCAAUGUGACUGGAAUUUAGCAAGCAAAGGAAAUCACCCAAUAUUUUCACAGUGGUGAAAUUGUUAAAAAGAAUUCACAUUUCCAAGGUUAAAAAUAAUUCAGAAUCUGACAAGAAAAGCUCUCUAUGACAACAGAGCAGGCAGAGCUGUGAGUCAGAAUGUACACACAAACACAACUGCACCCCAAGCAAACAGGCUGCAUCACUUUGUAAAAGUUUAUGAAGACCUGUGUAGUGAGCACAGCACAUAUGAAAGUUCAUGUCCUUAGUGUCAUCAAGAGGGCAGGCCAUCUAGAGGAAAAGGGGACCAAACUGAAUCAGAAGUCUUUUGCAACAAGGAGCUGAAAGAUUCCAACUCUCCUGGGAUUCAUUUCUUCAGGGAAGUCUCUCUUGCCCUCAUUGAAGAGGAGUGCAGUAGGUCAAUGUUCUGAGAAGUCUCAGGAAAGCAGAUGAACUGCCAAAAGAGAUGCAGUCUGUGGUCACUAUGGGAAAAACCAAACAAAUCCAGUGUCACUCGUUUCUUCUGUAGAAGUGCCUCACCCCACCUUCAGAAUAAGCAUACAUGCCUGUAAUGUUUCUCACUAUCUAAAAGGGAGAUCUUGGAAAGAUGGUUCACGUUAAAUGUUUUUACCUGCACUCUGGCACAUGUAUGGUCUGGACAUGUCUGCUUUGCUUUUGGGGAGAUACUGAAUACCUGUGCUAACAUCAUCUGCUGCAGGGAGCAAUCUGUGGUCCCUACUCCAAGCAGCAGAUAGUGCCUUGUAUCACUUGCUCUAAUCUUGUUUACAUCAGAUUGCUGGUGUGCAGGAAAACACUUUUCAUCCUCCUCCUCUGUGUCCCAGUGUGGCAUCAAUAACCUUCAAAGGGAAAAAAAAAAAAAGAGAGACACAUUGCUAUUUACUAGGAAGGUGAUUUGAAGUCC